GGUGAGAACCCUCGCCGAUUCUCCCCGCCGCGCCCCUCUCCCCUUCUCCACCGCAGCCGCCACCGCCAUGGUCCCGUCCUCCUCUCCUCCCCGUACAUCUCUCAGCGCCGAGUUCGCUGCCUUAGCUGCUCUCCCCACUACCAGCACGCUGUCGAUGGCCAACCGGGCCGCCGCACGCAGGAAGGAAGAGCAGCAGCAGCCGGGACGAGGGCGGGGAUGGAGAACGCGGCGUCCAUCUCACGAAGCCUCUGGCCAUCCCUCACCCCUGAUGCCGCCGUCCUUCCUCCUCCCCAUCGGGGCCAGGCAGAGGAGGAGGAGCGUCGACCACGGGCAUGAAGAGGAGGCGGCCGACAUCACCGUGCGCCGCCCGGCCAAGGUCUUCUCCCGCUGCUCUGGGUCGCGCGCCGCCUCUGCCGCCGACAGGAGGGGGCUGCGGCAGCCGCCACACAUUCCGGCGACCAGGAGCUCCCCGGCGUGGUUCCCUCGAUGGAGGGAUGCUUCCUCCGUCCACUGCCUGCUCCGUGCUGACGCCAUCAGUAGCGGUGGCGGUCGGGCUGAUGCGGACUCCGCACCACCACCGACGGUUUCGCCACGGACCGCAUCGUCUCCGACCAUGGCGAAAAGGCGCCCAGCGUUGUCUACAGCGGCACCCUCUUCGGCCCUGACCUAGUCACCGGGAUGCUCAUCGCUCUCGUUGGAUUCGGGCUCUACAAGUUUCGAUUCCCAGGUGUAAGACCUUUUAUGUUGUGCAUACACAAAUCUGCACUUCUGAAUUUUGUCUAGCUGUAGUUGACAGCAGUGGGCAUAACAAUAGCAUAACAGUAUGGAUAUGCUAUGUAGGUCGUGAAAUGUAUCAAAAUCGGUCUUCCAGAGAUCAUACUGCUGGUAGCUCUUUCCCAGUACAUACCUCAUCUGGUGCCUUUGCUGGGCACUGCCUUUGAGGGGUUCGCCGUCAUAAUGUCCGUCGCCGUCGUGUGGCUUUACGCGUUCUUCCUGACGGUUGGCGGGGCGUAUAAGAAUGCUGCUCCACCUGACCAUCCCAAUACUGCAGGAGUGUGUAUGUGUUGCGAGCAGUGAUUGGUACAGCCAAUGCAUCACUACUGGAGUACUGGCCCUUUUAGUGUGAGUAUGGCUGGAUUAUUUGCUUCUUUCAUGAUGAAGAAAUGGCCAUAGCCAUGGGAGUUUCCUCUUGGCGAUGAUAGCCGUGAGCAUCAUGCUAACUAUUAUGAUGCUGUACUGAAGUGAUAAUCAUGUUGGUGUUGUAUGGCUUGGUUGAGCUCAAGGUCAACGGAGACGGCAAUUGUCAGGUCUAUUUACAUGAUUUGAUUUUCUGUUUACUUUUUGAGAGUACCAUGUUUGGUAUCCAGUACAAGCCUACUCGGCAUAUUACUUGCCUCUUUCCAAAUCUCCAUUUUAAAUAGUUUCAAGCAUCAUCUGUUCAAUAUAGCGAACACCUGAACACUAUAGAUUUGUAUGGCUACUUUUACCAGGUUCCUUCUUACAGUAAUUUUAAUUGCUAGAUAUAUACAUCUAGGAGAGCUGGUUGUAUCUCUUUUUUCUGUUGUUAUUGGAGAAGAUGAAAAAAAAUCCUGGUCAGAUUCCCUUGUUCUCACAUUAGCUUGCAAAUAGAGUCAUGGACUGGACAAUAAACAUUUCUCCUAUUACAGUGUACAAUAUAUGAUUGAUUUUUUUUCUUUGCACUAUUUUACAUAAGUGUGUUGUUGAUGCCCUUUUUAUUUGGUCUUGCAGCUAUUUUGUGUUUCUGGUUCUAUAUAUAUACUGGUUGGAUGUUGACAAACAAUUCAUCCAUGCCUUCUUUUUCUAUGGGUGUAUGCUCGGCUCUUGAUACUGAACCUUUUUGUCAUUCAUUUUCGGAUCUGGUAAACAAGAUCGUAUUGUGUAGAUUAACUGCGGUGAAUUGCAGCCAGGGUUAGAAGCAAUGGGUCAUCCUCGAGCUCACGCCGCCCAUCUAGACAGAAGAAGAUGGGUGCUGCGGGCGGCGAGGCUGACGCGCCAUCGUCCUGUCUUCUGUGAGGGGAUCCAUCGUGAGGAACCAGCGGACGCGAUGCGGGUGCCCGAUCCUUACUGUGGAAUCACCUCUUCUUGUGGAUGGUUGCUGAAUAGCAGCAGUUCCAUCUCCAUCCCCAACGCAUCCUUGCCUCAUCUUGAUCUGCAAUGAACCAGAGAUUGAUCAAGAAAGACAAAUUGUCUCAUGCUUCAAGUACCAAGAAGAUAAUUUCUUGCAAGAUAAGGAAAAAUGGUCGACGCCACCGUGGCAGUGUUCUUUGGCACUCGGGUCAACAUAGUAGGUUUCUCCUUGUCAUUGAUAGCAUCGGUUAACAUAGGGGCAGCGGUCGCGGUCGCCCGAGGAGCACAGCCACACGGGGCUGGUCCUGCCGCCGCCAAAGAAGAGCGGAGGAGGUCGAUACAUGGUCGAGGAGGGGCACGGGCGAGGUUCAUGCCGCACGGGGGCACGCGGCUCCAACGAGAGAAGGCUUCUCCUGUUCCCGUGCCGCCAGGCACCCCUCACCGCCGCCCUAUACUUGUCCUCCGGUCGUCGGUGCUUUGUUGGUUGAUGGAUUUUGCUUAUCUGCCGGCAGAUCGCACCGAAGGCCGCCGCCAUAUAGGGGCUAAUGAGGACAUCGUGAUGAGGUUGCCGCUUUGGCCAUAGCAGAGGGGAUCCGGCCGGCACAUUGCGUCUCCCAUAAACAUGCCUAAUUUUAUAUUCAAAUGUAGCAUUGAUCUACUUGCCCCCUCCAAAAGGCCAUAUGUGUUGCUUUGUUUUACUUCUCUUUCAUAUCUAGUUAUUUAGAAAUUCUCUGGUAACCUUCUGGCACUAAAAUAUGAUUAGGUAUAAUGUGAAGCAUUUCCUUGACAGAGGUACCUAUUGCUGGAUCAUUUAUGUUGCUAUAUGUUGCAGGAAUGUAUCCAUGAACUGGGAAACCUGUGAACUCUUUGAUACGCCUUUUAUGUGUUGCUUUUGGUCUUGAUAGAGGGAGAUACAUUGACAGGAAGUGCUCACUCGCUAGAAUUGUUUCUAUCAGGGGCAGAAUUAUUGGUUAAACAUGCACUAUGUGAACAUGAAUAGGAACCUUUCAUAAUUAUUCCCAAACAUGCCACUGUGUCAUCAUUGGCCAGUGCGGGCAUUGCUCUCUAGCAGAUAUAUUGUUUAGUUCUUCUUGGUUUCAAUUAUGUUGGCCCUCCUUAAGAUUGCUUCGGAAUGUGAGGCUUUAAAGUUUCAACCCUGUGCAAGGCUCCAAAGCUUUACCAGUUUUCCACUUGCUUUCAAAUGAAUUUGUCAUUGAAGAAACCAUGAAUUCUUUUGUUUUCUUUUUGACCUACACUUAACCUUUCAUGGGAAGAUAGUGUGUCAUUUCCCCAUUAGGGUUGGAGUACUUGAUGUAUGUGUUGUAUUAGUGACGUGGUCGUAACAAGCAACCAUAAAUAUUGUUUUUGAUUUCCUUGGAUGAAGACACUUUUAUGUGACAACCAUAUGUUUACUAAUACAUAGUAGGGUUUUGGAAACUGGUGGUUACUUUUGUUUGUUGACAACCAAUUACUGUGAUUCCAGGACCUCUUAGAUUAUACAAGUCCCUAUGUUUGUUUGGAUUUAUGAACCAUGGGACUGGACUUUCAUUCGAUGCCACUAGCUUCUGUGAUGUGAUACGUCUUCAACGUAUCUAUAAUUUUUGAUUGUUCCAUGCUAUUAUAUUACCCGUUUAGGAU